CACGUAGGGUGCGAGCGUUGUCCGGAAUUAUUGGGCGUAAAGAGCUCGUAGGCGGUGUGUCGCGUCGGCCGUGAAAACCUGCAGCUUAACUGUGGGCUUGCGGUCGAUACGGGCAAGCUAGAAUUCGGUAGGGGAGACUGGAAUUCCUGGUGUAGCGGUGAAAUGCGCAGAUAUCAGGAGGAACACCGGUGGCGAAGGCGGGUCUCUGGGCCGAUAUUGACGCUGAGGAGCGAAAGCGUGGGGAGCGAACAGGA
rnacentral:rRNA from 1 species